AGUGAACGCUGGCGGUAGGCCUAACACAUGCAAGUCGAACGGAAGCACAGUAAGAGCUUGCCCCUACGGGUGGCGAGGGGCGGGCGGGUGAGGCAUACAUCGGCAUCUACUUUUUCGUGGGGGAUAACGCAGGGAAACUUAUGCUAAUAGCGCAUACGACGUACGGGUGAAAGCAGGGGAUCUUCAGACCCUGCCCGACUCAAUGAGACGAUGUCGGAUUACCUAGUUGGCUGGGUAAGGGACCAGCAAGGCGACGAUACGUAGCUGGUCUGAGAGGAUGAUCAGCCACACUGGAACUGAGACACGGUCCAGACUCCUACGGGGGGCAGCAGUGGGGAAUAUUGGACAAUGGGCGCAAGCCUGAUCCAGGCAUAGCGCGGUGGUGAAGAAGGCCCUCGGGUUGUAAAGCCCUUUUGUUGGGAAAGAAAAGCAGCAGGUUGAAACCCCGCUGUUCUGACGGUACCCAAAGAAUAAGCACCGGCUAACUUCGUG
rnacentral:rRNA from 1 species